rnacentral:rRNA from 1 species
AUGGACUACGCAGCCAGGGCGCCGAGAGCCGGGAACCUCACCAUCAGCAUCGGCUGGUCGCCGAAAAGCAGCGGAGGCGGCAUACUGAACGGGCUGGAGAUCAUGAGGCUGCCACCCGUCGAUUUGAGCUCGAGGGGAUCGCACGGCGGGACGAAGAGAAUCAUUGUCGUUACGGUGUCGGUGGUGCUCAGCGCCGCCGUUCUUGCUUGCGUGGUGCUCUGCUUUUUCGGCGUGCCGUACACCAAGUACGGCGCCUCCGUCUGGGCUGAGCAGUUGAAGAACCGGUGGUCCAGAGAGCGCAAGACCGGCGGGAUGGAGAGGGUGAGCACGAAGCUGCACAUCUCGCUGGCGAAGAUCAAGGCCGCCACGGACAACUUCCACGAGCGCAACCUCAUCGGCGUGGGCGGUUUCGGGAACGUGUACAAGGGCGUGCUCGGUGACGGCACGCCCGUGGCGGUGAAGCGCGCCACCCGCGCCUCGCAGCAGGGGCUGCCGGAGUUCCAGACGGAGAUCGUGGUGCUGUCCGGCAUCCGGCACCGGCACCUGGUGUCGCUCAUCGGCUACUGCAGCGAGCAGGCGGAGAUGAUCCUGGUGUACGAGCACAUGGAGAAAGGCACGCUGCGGAGCCACCUGUACGGCUCCGACGAGCCGGCGCUGUCGUGGAGGCAGCGGCUGGAGAUCUGCAUCGGCGCGGCGAGGGGCCUGCACUACCUGCACCGAGGCUACGCGGAGAACAUCAUCCACCGCGACGUCAAGUCGACCAACAUCCUCCUCGGGAGCGACGGUGGCGGCGUGAUCGUGGGUCGUGGCCAAGGUGGCCGACUUCGGGCUGUCGCGCAUCGGGCCGUCGUUCGGGGAGACGCACGUGAGCACGGCGGUGAAGGGCAGCUUCGGGUACCUGGACCCGGGCUACUUCAAGACGCAGCAGCUGACGGACCGGUCGGACGUCUACUCCUUCGGCGUGGUGCUGCUGGAGGUGCUCUGCGCGCGGCCGGUGAUCGACCAGAGCCUGGAGCAUGGCCAGAUCAACAUCGCCGAGUGGGCGGUGAGGACGCGCGGGGAAGAACGGGGGCUCGACAAGAUCGCCGACCCGCGGAUCGCCGGCGAGGCGGACGAGGAGUCGCUGCACAAGUUCGCCGAGACCGCGGAGAAGUGCCUGGCGGACUGCUGGAUAGACCGGCCGUCCAUGGGCGACGUGCUGUGGAACCUGGAGUACUGCCUCCAGCUGCACGAGACGAACGUCGCCGGGAACGAACUCGGCAACAGCGGCGCCGUCGCCACGCAGCUCCCAGAGGACGUGGUCGUGGGCGUGGGCGUGAGCUUGUUGACGGACGACGAGGACGAGACCUGCUUGAGCAUGACCGAGCUCGGCGACAGCAAAGUGUUCUCCCAGAUGAGCGCCCGCGGCGAGGGACGAUGAUCUGA